GGGAAGGUGGCUCAGUAUUAGAGCGCUUGCCUUGCAUGCAUGAGGCCCUGGGUUCGAUUCCUUGGCAUCACA
rfam:Dipodomys ordii contig_17258, whole genome shotgun sequence.